rnacentral:rRNA from 1 species
AUUGAACGCUGGCGGCAGGCCUAACACAUGCAAGUCGAGCGAGCGGCGGACGGGUGAGUAAUGUCUGGGAAACUGCCUGAUGGAGGGGGAUAACUACUGGAAACGGUAGCUAAUACCGCAUACCCUCAGAUGUGCCCAGAUGGGAUUGGCUAGUAGGUGGGGGAACGGGUCACCUAGGCGACGAUACCUAGCUGGUCUGAGAGGAUGACCAGCGACACUGGUAGUGAGAAGCGGUCCAGACGCCAACGGGAGGCAGCAGGGGGGAAUAUGGCACAAUGGGCGCAAGCCGGAUGCAGCCAGGCCGCGUGUGUGAAGAAGGCCUUCGGGUUGUAAAGCACUUUCAGCGGGGAGGCGUUACCCGAAGAAGAAGCACCGGCUAACUCCGUGCCAGCAGCCGCGGUAAUAC